rnacentral:misc_RNA from 1 species
UUCGAGCGUCAUUACACACCUCAAGUCAAACUUUUGGUUAACUUGGUUUUGGGCCUUGCCGGAAGGCAUGCCUAAAAAUUAGCGAUGGUACGUUAAACCACGGGACGCACAAAUGUCGUUGCGUAGGGGCACGGCACCAGUCUAAUGAUUAAUUUCUCAAUGUUGACCUCGGAUCAGGUAGGAAUACCCGCUGAACUUAA